UACGUAGGGUGCAAGCGUUGUCCGGAAUUAUUGGGCGUAAAGAGCUCGUAGGCGGUUUGUCGCGUCGAAUGUGAAAACCCGGGGCUCAACCCCCGGGCCUGCAUUCGAUACGGGCAGACUAGAGUUCGGUAGGGGAGUCUGGAAUUCCUGGUGUAGCGGUGAAAUGCGCAGAUAUCAGGAGGAACACCGGUGGCGAAGGCGGAUCUCUGGGCCAUUACUGACGCUGAGGAGCGAAAGCGUGGGGAGCGAACAGG
rnacentral:rRNA from 1 species